CGGCGGUGGGAGCGCGUGUUUUUCGGUUCCGGAAGUGUCUUCCGUGCCUUGUCCUGUAGCGCACAGUUCUGUGCGGUAUUGCGGAGAUAAACAGUAACUAAAACCUAGAAAUCUAGUGGCGUGUAUGACUACAGAACGAAUUCAGUUGUAUAACAGAGGCAUGGACAUUCAUCUUAGCAAUGUAAGAAAGGAGCUGCCGAAGACCCGAGAAAGCUUUGCUGGGACGACAGGCGGCCCUUCCCCAGUCUAAAGAGAGCACGAGGGCAGGAUAAGACAGCAGGCUAAGACGUGGCAUGUGCGGGUAAGAGAAGUGAAUCAUCUUGAGCACAACCAGUGGAGCAGCGUGCACUGUGACUAAAUCUGGCGAGUUUGAGAAGGGCGAGUUUGAGCAGUGUGGUAGGGAAUAGAAGUCAUGGUUGAAGGGCAACAAAAUAAAAUAAAAUAUAUUAAAAAAAAAAAAGGGAGUCGGGCUGUAGCGCAGUGGGUUAAGCACAGGUGGCGCAAAGCACAAGGACCGGCAUAAAGAUCCCGGUUCGAACCCUGGCUCCCCACCUGCAGGGGAGUCGCUUCACAAGUGGUGAAGCAGGUCUGCAGGUGUCUAUCUUUGUCUCCUCCUCUGUCUUCCCCUCCUCUCUCCCUUUCUCUCUGUCCUAUCCAACAGUGACAACAACAACAACAAUAAUAACUACAACAAUAAAACAAGGGCAACAAAAGAGAAUAAAUAAAUAAAUAUUUAAAAAAAUAAAUUAAAAAGAAGAAGAAGAAGUCAUGGCUGAGCACCACAGAGAGAAGUCUCUCAGGCUGCGGUAGUAAGUUGACAGGGAAAGGGAAGUGUCGAGGCAUCAGUUUGGGAAUAACAGUGGAGAGCUAGUCAUGGCAUACUAUGUCCGGAUUGGCAUCUAUCUGGGAGUAACUGGGUAGAUUCUGAAUGCAGUCGCAGGUGUCUCUUUUCUGAGAACUCUGUUCUCUUUGUGGUCUGAGGGGGAGAGAGUGAGUCCUGACCUAGUUGUUGGGGUCUGCUUGGCCCCGAUUCAGGACCAGCAGACAUUCCGUAAGCCUGAGUCGAGUUUCCCUGACGGGUCACUAACUUCCUCAGAGUGACACAGCAUUUCCUGUAGGCCGUGCCUGAAUUCACCUCUGCCCUCCAGCUGAUGAUGUGUAAAGCGCAUAGGCCCCACCGAUGGUGACGCCACCUCACACCACCUCUAACGUCAUCUCACCCUACCUCUCCAUCCCUGCCUCUACCCCCUGCCUAUAAAAAAUGGCCUUUUCCUCAAUAAAGCGAGUCACUGCCUUGA